rnacentral:rRNA from 1 species
AUGCCAAUGCUUAUCGGGAUUGUAGUAGUAUUCACCAUUCAAGUGUUUGGAGUCUACUGGUGGUACAUGAAUGAUGACCUUGUUAGACCUUUGGUGAUGCUUCCUCCAAAAGAAAUACCACCAUUCUGGCAUGCUAUAUUUUUCAUUGCGAUGAAUGAUACAAUGGUCCGGCAAGCUGCUAUGGUGGUCAAGUCUGUGCUGCUCAUGUACUAG